GUAGUCAUAUGCUUGUCUCAAAGAUUAAGCCAUGCAUGUCUAAGUAUAAGCAAUUAUACCGUGAAACUGCGAAUGGCUCAUUAAAUCAGUUAUCGUUUAUUUGAUAGUACCUUACUACUUGGAUAACCGUGGUAAUUCUAGAGCUAAUACAUGCUGAAAACCCCGACUUCGGGAGGGGUGUAUUUAUUAGAUAAAAAACCAACGCCCUUCGGGGCUUCUUGGUGAUUCAUGAUAACUUCACGGAUCGCAUGGCCUUGCGCCGGCGACGGUUCAUUCAAAUUUCUGCCCUAUCAACUUUCGAUGGUAAGGUAUUGGCUUACCAUGGUUUCAACGGGUAACGGGGAAU
rnacentral:rRNA from 1 species